UGGGGAAUAUUGCACAAUGGGCGCAAGCCUGAUGCAGCAACGCCGCGUGCGGGAUGACGGCCUUCGGGUUGUAAACCGCUUUCACCCAUGACGAAGCGAAAGUGACGGUAGUGGGAGAAGAAGCACCGGCCAACUACGUGCCAGCAGCCGCGGUGAUACGUAGGGUGCGAGCGUUGUCCGGAAUUAUUGGGCGUAAAGAGCUUGUAGGCGGUUGAUUGCGUCGAAAGUGAAAUUCCAGGGCUUAACGCUGGGCUUGCUUUCGAUACGGGUCGACUUGAGGAAGGUAGGGGAGAAUGGAAUUCCCGGUGGAGCGGUGGAAUGCGCAGAUAUCGGGAGGAACACCAGUGGCGAAGGCGGUUCUCUGGACCUUUCCUGACGCUGAGAAGCGAAAGCGUGGGGAGCAAACA
rnacentral:rRNA from 1 species